UUAUGUGAUCGUCUCUCGCAUAUCAAUAAGCGGAGGAAAAGAAACUAACAAGGAUUCCCCUAGUAACGGCGAGUGAAGCGGGAAGAGCUCAAAUUUGAAAUCUUAAAGGGUUUCCCUUUACGAAUUGUAGUUUAAAGAAGUGUUUUCUGUUGAGGUUUUGGCUAAAAGUUCUUUGGAAUAGGACAUCAUAGAGGGUGAGAAUCCCGUAUUUGACCUUUACUUUCAACUUUGUGAUACACUUUCAAAGAGUCGGAUUGUUUGGGAAUGCAGUCCAAAAUGGGUGGUAAAUUUCAUCUAAAGCUAAAUAUUGGCGAGAGACCGAUAGCGAACAAGUACCGUGAGGGAAAGAUGAAAAGAACUUUGAAAAGAGAGUUAAACAGUACGUGAAAUUGUCAAAAGGGAAGCGUUUGACACCAGUGUUGUUUUUCUGAAAAUCAAUUAAAGAACUGUUUAUGCUAAGUUGUUUAGACUUUAUCAGCUAUCUGUUUAGUUUUGAGCUUUUCUUUAAUGCACUUUUCAGUUAACAAGUCAACAUCAAUUUCUUUUGCUGUAAAAAAGCUUGAGGAAGGUGGCUUGAGAUUCGUCUUAAGUGUUUAUAGGCCUCUUGCCUAUGCAGUCGGAGAGAUUGAGGUCUGCAGCGUAGAUCCUUCGGGGCUAAAUGCAUUUGUGCUAAGUUAUAGCAUUUUAUAGACAACUUGUUGACUAUGAUUUGUCUUGUAGCUUACUCGCUUAUGUUAUUUUACCUACGCUUAGGAUGUUGAUCUACAGAGCGAGAGU
rnacentral:rRNA from 1 species